rnacentral:lncRNA from 1 species
GUGUAUGUAUUUAGUAUAGAUUCUUUUAAUAAUAUAAUAAUAUUUUAAAUUAAAAAAUAAAGUAAAAAUGGUUAAAAUAUGAACAUUAUUAGCAGCAAAGAACAGUGAAUAUAAGUGUUUUACUGUGACAGUGAAGGUGGAGUUUGGAGUCUAGAGGUUGUUGAGGACGAUGUUGGCGAGAUUCAAACCUUCACAUGUGGUGUCAUCAUCAGAGAUCUUGGAAGAAAAAGACCAAGAGAACCCUGAGGUGGCAGAGAACCCAACGCUCACCCACUCCGGAAGAAGGCUCUCGAGCUCCACUCUCUGAGAGACGAUGUAGUUCGUUGGCUGAGAAGGGUAAACCAGAGAAGCCACCAAGAGCUUCGUGGAGGACUCAUAGGUGAUCUGAACCUCCGCGUUUUCUCCGUUGACCAAUUCCCACGGCGUCGUUUUCAUAGACUCGAUGGAGUUCACGUCGAUGCCAAUAUGACGGCCUUCGGGGUCCCACUCCUGGUUGACGAAGGUGUCGAACUCCACAGCCACAGUAUGGGCUUUGCUGUUGUAUUUGUCGCUGUCGAAAAGACCUAGAAAACCGCCUUGCUUUGUUGGGAACGAGAGCAAAGCCAAGGCCAUCGGCGGCUUUUGCUUUGUUGGGAGCGUGGAUAUUGAAUUUGAAGUUUGUGGUGAAGCUGGCGACUUUUCCGGUGGCGCUGUCUUAGAUUUGGAUGGGGGCGGAGUAGAAGGCGCGGCCCAGAGAGGCCACCGUGGGUUCUCCGUUGCUAUUAACAUUGGUUAGUCGUAACUGGCCGGAGGAUGAGACGGAGGCAUCGCCUUGGAGGAUAAGGUUGGUUUCGUUGAACCUAUCGAAGCUGAAGGAGGUUUCGCUGGCUGAGUUUGCGUGGCUGAGAAGCACAAGGAAGAGGCUAGGUUGAGUAAGUUGGAGGAAGCCAUGUAUGCAUUCAUGCAUUAACCAUCACUCUCUUCUCUAUUUAUACAACAACAAAUGCAAAAUCUUUCCAACUUUUUUAUUUCAUUCUAUUAUUAAAUACGUGUUUUCGAAUGAUUAACUUUUUUCUUUUAUAAUAUUAUUUGAGAGAGAAAUAAGAAUAUUAAAAUAAGAAUUAAGCAACGAUUGAUUUUACAACGAUUCAACGUUUUGCUACGAUUCUUAAUUACAAUGUGUCGAUAACUCUUUUUAAGUAUUUGGGUAUGCUGGUAGGGGGUGUCAUUGGAGAGGUGCUUUUUGAGCGGACAAAAAUUCCAAAAAUCCACCAUUUAUUAUUAAUCUUUUUUAUUAUUUAGGUAUUUUUCAGGUAUUUUAAGGUUUUAGUUCUCACAGUUACCCUAAUUAGAAAAUUCUAAUUUUUUUUUCAUGAUUUUUUAGUUAUAAAUUAGUGAUAUAUCAAAACCCUAUAAAUUAGUGAUAAUUCAUAUUUUUCGUGAAGGGAAUGCGUGUGCUAAUAAGUUGGCUAAUUUAGGAUUUAUUCAUAGAGAAUCAUUUCAUUGGUAUAAUAGACUCCCAGCUAGUCUGUUCUUAGAAUUCUUUAUGAAUAGGUAUAAUCUACCUAUUUAUCGUUUUUGUUAACAUAUGGGUUUUGGUCUAGUCCCGUCAUAUUUUUGUAUUUUCUUUCUUUUUUCUUUUUUUUUAAUAAUAUUUUUUUUAUGUGAUGACAAAUGAUUGUUGUUACUUGAGGUGUCAGCUUAGCUGAGAUGUCAAGUUGCAUAGUGAUGCCUAACACGAAAACUUUAUAUAAAAAAAAACCCUAUGGACAUAUAUAUGUCAGAUUUGUUAGAAUUUGCAUAUGGAGAUCAUUGUAAGAGCAUGACUGGAAGCAAAUAAUAAUAUUUAACUUAUUCUUUAUAAUUUUUUAACACUAAUUAAUGUGAAUCCUUUUUCCCGCCAUAGAAUAUGUGAGAAAUGGGCCACGUAUUUCCUUAAUUUCUAUAACUCUAAGAUAAAUAAUCAAUAAUAUAGGAAUUAGAUAGAUAGAUAGGAAUAUAUAUGUUAUUAGUGUUUGUAAUACAUCUUUAUCAAUGUAUAUAAUUUGAUUAUCUGAAUAUAUGUAUCAGGGCUAACUUAGUUUUAAUUGUACAAGUCAAUUUAGAUAGGAUUAACAUUAAACAGAAUGAACUAAACAAAAAAUUCUCAUUUAAAAUGGCGGCUUUUACCAUAACUGCCAUUUUAUAUCUUUCAAGAAGGUAUAAAUGACGACUUUUUAUCAUAACCGUCAUUUUAUAUCUUUAAGGAGGAUCUAAAACGGUGACUUUUUACCAUAACUGUUGUUUUAUAUCUUUUAAAAAGGUCUAAAACGACGACUUUUACCAUAAUUGCUGUUUUAGACUGAAUAUAACACAACGAUUAUAUAAUCUCUGUCUUUGCUUGAAAAGAAUAGACUAUAUGUUGAAAGACAACGCUACAAGAACCGUUGUUUUAAUACUAAAAUGAUCGUCGUGAUUUAAUUUUUUUCAUCAGUAAUUGUAAAGUUUCUUUUUAGAGUGUUGAUAAACAUAUAUCGAUUUGAAAUGAAUAGAGUUAGAAAGUAAAAAAAAAAUACAAGAAAAAUGUUAAAUAAUGUCAUAGAAAUAGAAAUGGAAGAGAAGUGUAAAGAAAUUUAAAUAAAAAUUAGAUGUGAGAGUAAGUUAGUUUAUAAAUUGAUUUGUUUAAUGAUUUAAUAACUGUAAAAAUCAAAUAAAAGUAAAUUAUAGUAAUAUGUACUAAGAUUUAAUGUAAUUACACCCAUGUUUCCUUUUUUUUUCUCUGUUAUACUUUAACUUAUAAUAAUCCUUUCCAUUAUUAUAAACUUUUUUAAAAUUACAUAUUUUUCAAAUUAUGCACUAAUAAUAUAAUAAUACACAUGCUGAAUAAUACGCAGUGUAAAUAUAUGAGCUCCUAUUUUAUUUAUGCUCCCAUUUGUGACAGAUGAAGAUUAUUAGCAGGAAAGAAGAGUGAGAGUGAGUAUAAGCAGGGUUUUACUGUCACAGUGAAGGUGGUUUUUGGAAUCUAGAGGAUCUUGUUGAGGAGGAUGUUGGCGAGAUUCGAAUCUUCAGAUGUGGUGUGACAGGAGAACUUGGAAGAAAAAGACCAAGAGAGCAGGUCGUGCGUUUCACUGGACACGUUAGAUGACCCUGAGGUGGAAGAGAACCCAACGCUCACAUUUAAUAAUAAUAUUAUGUGAUACCUCACAAUUAUUUAUCUUAUUAAUUGAUCAAUUACCAUAAUUAUCCUAUUAUAUUAUUGGUAAUUACUAUUAUCAUAAAUAAUUAGGGUUUCUUCUUGGGUGUAUUAUAAAUAGAGAUUACCAGACAACUAAAGAGACACUCUUAUAUUCUAACAUCACACGGUCGAAACUCAUUCCCUAAAGGGAUUUUCGAGCCUCUCAUCUCUUUGUCUCUCUGCUCACAUAAUUCCAUUUUAAGCGAUACACUCUAAAGGGAAACCCGAUCAAGAUCAUGUCUUCGUCCCUCAGCCAUGCGAUCACGGGUUUACCAAGUAUUAUCUAAUCAUUAUUCUCGUUUCAUUAUAUGAUUGAGGAAUCCUAAUCCAACAUGUGGUAUCAGAGUCAGGUUUAUGUUGUUUAAUCGAUUCUUCUUUUGUUUUCCCUAAAUUUGGAAGAAACGAGGAUUUUGAUUCAACCUAUUGAUUUUCGAUGUUUUUAUUUUGGUAUAUUAUUGAACCACUUAUUUUCGAAAAUCCACCUUGAUAUCAUAAAAUAAAUUUUAAUUUUUUCGAGAUCCAUAAUUAUUUUAAGAUUUUGAAAAUUAAAAUUUAAUAUUAAUGUUAUGUGUUCUUCAUAAUUUUCGUGAGUAUUCCCUUAUUUGGAAUGGAAUUAAUUUUGAUUAUAUGUUCAUCAUCAUUAUUUGUUGUUCGUAUGAAUUUUUGAAAAUUAUGAAUAAAGAAUUUUCAAAAAUUAAUUAUUCCCUUAAUUAGGAAAUUUUGAAAAUAAUAUUUUUCCUUAAUUCAAAUUUUCGAAAUACAAUUGAUUCCCUUAAUUAGGAAUGGAUUUGAUUUGAUUUGAUUGUGUUUUUCUAAAAAAAUAAAUAAAAAUUGAUAUCUUAGUCUCCACGUUUUUCCUUAUUUAGGAUAGUAUAUUCUUGCCUUAUUAAUUUUCGGGUAUUAUUAUUAUUAUUACUAUUUUCGAAAAUAGCAGUCGUGUCAAACUUGGAAACAUAUCAAUCUAAUUAAAAUUUUGAAGACCAAAUCUAAAAUCAAAUCCUUAAUAUUCCGCUACUCACUUAUCGAGUUUACGAGUAACAUAUUUACGCGUUUCCUUUUAUUUAUCGAAUUAAAUAUGGUAAAUCUCAUGAUACCGUAAUUAUGUUUUAAAAAAAAUACUUAUUUUGUUAAACUCUUAAAACAAAAAUAUUAAGUUUGACAAAAUUAAAAUUAAAUUUUUUGCUUAAACUUAAUAACAGGAGUCUCCCUUCUGUCCAACGAUGAUGGGUUAUGUCUUGUUAUUUUAGUCUAAUUAAGCACCUUCACUUACUUGUGAGUACACUUAAUUAUUAAAUAUUCGCAUGACAUUUGCCUAAAAACACAAUUAUUUCUUAUUUCUAUUCUGUCCAACGAUGUUUGAUGCACUUGUGUUUUGCAAACUUAAUAUGUGCAUAAGCUUAAAUGUUCAAUUCUGUCCAAAGAUGAUGUGUCACAUUCUUAUUGCACAUACCUUACUUAUAAUUGUUCAUUAUUCUUAAAUAAUUGGUAAUUAACCAAAGUGAAAGCUGAUUGUUUAAGUAGAACCUAAUCUAGUCUAUUAUUUUGAUGUUAUAAUAGAUUUUAUCACAGCUUCAUUAUCAUAAUGGUUCUUACUUAUGCCUGCUUUAGAUCUAAGUUUCCAAAUGUCACUCUAACUUUUUCCUUAGCCUAAGUAUCUUAAUUCGUCGUCUAACCAGCCCCUAAUAUGGAAAUUGAGACCUUGACUGGUGAAAAUCAUUCUUCUUGGAAAGAUUCCUUGAUGCUNNNNNNNNNNNNNNNNNNNNNNNNNNNNNNNNNNNNNNNNNNNNNNNNNNNNNNNNNNNNNNNNNNNNNNNNNNNNNNNNNNNNNNNNNNNNNNNNNNNNNNNNNNNNNNNNNNNNNNNNNNNNNNNNNNNNNNNNNNNNNNNNNNNNNNNNCAAUCAUUAGAGGAGGCAUUCCUGAUUCACCUAACGCUAAGGCUUAUCUAGCUUCUGUGGAGGAACAAUUUCAAGGAACCUCUAAGGCUCAUGCUAGUACUCUUAUCUUGAAGUUGGUGACUACAAAAUAUGACGGGCGCACCGGCAUUCGUGAACACAUCCUGAUGAUGAGCGACAUGGCCCGUAAACUUAAGGGAUUAGCCAUGGAGAUCAGUGAAGGUUUCCUAGUCCACUUCAUUAUGACUUCUCUUCCUUCUGCGUUUGAAGCCUUCAAAGUCAACUAUAAUACUCAGAAGGACAAAUGGUCCAUGAGUGAGUUGAUUGCUAUGACUGUUCAAGAAGAAGAGCGCCUGAAGUUGGAGAAACCAGAUGUUGCUUACCUCGUGGCUGCUGAGUCGAAGAAGCGGAAGGGCAAAUUCCAUAAAAAGGAAUCUAAUAAGGUCCCUAAAACUGAUGCAAGUGCACCCUCCAGCUCUAACAAAUUCACUAGCAAGUUCUACUGCAAGUUCUGCCGCAAGGUAGGACAUAAGCAGUCUGAGUGCUCAAGCUUUAAGGAGUGGUUGGCUAAGAAAGGUAAUCAUCUAAAUAUGAUAAUUGAGUCCUUUAAUUUAAAUGUUCCAACUAAUACUUGGUGGUUUGACUCUGGUUCUAUGGUUCAUGUGACCAAUUCAAUCCAGGGAUUCCUUACAAUCCAGAAGCUGGAAAGAAACCAAAGAACACUUAAGAUGGGGAAUGGACAAGAACUAUUUGUCGAAGCUGUCGGAAUCUUAGAAUUACUUAUGAAAACUGGAAAAUGUAUUAAACUUUAUGAUACCUUAUAUAUUCCCGAAAUUACUCAGAAUCUUGUAUUAGGACCAAAGUUAGACAUUGAUGGUUUUUAUGUUUCCCAUGGUCAUGGCAAACUUACUAUUUCUUUAAAUUCUCAAUUGUUUGGUACUGGUUUUCUGGAUAACGGUCUCUAUAAGUUAGAACUAGAUGAUAACUUCUCCAAAUCUUUGUUAUCAUAUAAUAUUAAUGAGAACUUAACAAAGACCAAGAGAAAACGAGACUUAGAAACUUCAUCCAUGUUGUGGCAUCAACGUUUAGGCCACAUUUCACGAGAUCGCUUAUCUCGACUUGUGAAGGAUGAAGUCUUACCAUCUCUCAAUUUCACUGAUUUUGGAACAUGUGUCAAAUGCCUCAAAGGCAAAAUGACAUCCACGACUAAGAAAGGCAAAAUGACAUCCACGACUAAGAAAAAAAAAUACAAGAAAAAUAUUAAAUAAUGUCAUAGAAAUAGAAAUGGAAGAGAAGUGUAAAGAAAUUUAAAUAAAAAUUAGAUGAGAGAGUAAGUUAGUUUAUAUUGAUUUCUUUAGUGAUUUAAUAACUGUAAAUAAGAAAGAGUAAAUUAUAGUAAUAUUUACUAAGAUUCAAUGAAGUUACACCAAUGUUUCCUUUUUUUAAUAUGUUAUACUUUAAUUUAUAAUAAUCCUGUCCAUUACUAUAAAAAUUUUAAAAAUUACAUAUUUUUCAAAUUAUGCACUAAUAACACGCAUAUAUGGUCAAACAGAAUAAACUAAAGCAAAAAAUUCUCAUUUAAAAUAGCGGCUUUUAUCAUAACGGUCGUUCUAUAUCUUUGAAGAUGGUAUAAAAUGAUGAGUUUUUAGCAUAACUGCCAUUUUAUAUCUUUCAGGAGGAUUUAAAACAACGAUUUUUUAGCAUAAUUGUCGUUUUAUAUCUUUAAAAAAUGCCUAAAAUGAAGACUUUUACCAUAAUCGUUAUUUUAGACUGAAUAUAACACGACGAUUAUAUAACCGUUGUCUUUACUUAAAGAGAAUGGACUUCAUGCUGAAAGACAGCGGUAUAAGAAUCGCUCAUUCAUGCUGAAAGACAGCGGUAUAAGAAUUGCUCAUUUAGUGCUGAAAUGACCGUUGUCAUUUAGCUUUUUUGCACCAAUAAUUAUAAAGUUUAUUUUUAGAGUGGUGGUGAUAAACAUAUAUCGAUGUGAGAAUAAGUUAGUUUAUAUUGAUUUGUAUAGUGAUUUAAUAACUGUAAAAGUCGAAUAAGAAAGAGUAAAUUAAAGUAAUAUUUUCUUAUGUUUAAUGUAAUUUAAACCAAUGUUUUUUUUUUCUAUGUUAUACUUUAACUUAUACUAAUCCUUUCCAUUAUUAUAAACUUUUUAAAAAUUACAUAUUUUUUAUUUUUCAAAUUAUGCACUAACAAUACGAAUAUGCAUGGUCAAUAAUACGCAGUGUAAAUUGUGUAAAUAUAUGAGCUCCCAUUUUAUUUAUUUAUUUUAGUUUGUGUGACAAAUGAACAUUAUUAGUAGCAAAGAAGAGUGAAGAGUGACUAUAAGUAGCGUUACCAUGAGACUAUGUUACUAUAUGAGACUAUGAGGUAAUAUGGCCUGAAAAAUGUUGAAGGAACUUGUCAAAGACUCAUAGACAAAGUCUUCAAGGGGAUUGGCCGGAACAUAAGGGAAAUGGUCGGAACGAUUUACGUGGACGACAAACUCAUGUGCCCAACACAUAAAGAUUUGAAAGAACUCUUUGAAGCUAUUAGGCUAUGAUGUUCAGACACUUCUCUUAAAUGAUGUGUCGGUGGUAGAUACUCAUAUCGGACACCGACAUUCGUAUGACACUUGUAGGACACGUAUUCGUGAAAUGUCCAAUUCAAAAAGUAUUUGUUGGAUUUUUGACAAUUUUAAUACAAUUCUAACAGAAUUUUAAAAAGGAAAAAUACAUUAAUUUUCUAAAAACUCAAACUUAUUGUAUAAAUUUUUAUUAUGAUUAUAAAAAUAAGAAACAAAUCAUUUUGAAGUAGUCAUGAAAAACAUUUUUUUCUCUUUUCUCCAAAAAACAAUCUGUAACAUACUUGUGUACAUAAAUCUUUAUUAUCAAUUUAUAUAAUUUAUAAUUAUAUAAUAUAUAGAUUCGUGUUUUCAUAUCCUACAUUUUAAAUAUUUAUUUUAAAUAUUUUCCGUAUCUUUACGUUUGUGUCCUUGUUUUAUCGGUGUCCGUGUUAUACAGCUCUUAAGUGAAUGAACAUGCGGCUAAAUCCUGAAAAGUUUGCGUUCAGGAAUAUAAGUUAUUGGGUUUAGGGUUUAAUCUCGAGAAAUGUAGGGCGAUAGAGAUAACAAGAUGAUCAAAAAUACAAAAAAAAGAAGAAGAGUAAAAUAGAGUAAACUCCAUUAUGUUAUUAUUUUGGAAAACUUUUCUUCAACAGUCCAAAGUUUGGAGUAAAAAACAAGCAUUUGACAGCUCCUUUUAAUAAUAUAAUAAUAUAUGAGCUCCCAUUUUAUUUUCUGUGACAGAGAAACAUUAUUAGCAGGAAAGAACACUGAGUGAAAGCAGUGUUUUAGUGUCACAGGGAAGGUGGAGUUUGGAGUCUAGAGGAUUUGGUUGAGGACCAAGUUGGCGAGAUUCAAAGCUUCAGAUGUGGUGCCAUCGGAGAGCUUGGAAGCAAAAGACCAAGAGAGGACGUCGUUCGUUUCAACGUUCCCUUUAGUAAUCCCAGUGGUGGCAGAGAACCCAACGCUCACCCACUCGGGAAGAACGCUCUUCAGGUCCACUGUGUCAGAGACGGUGAAGCUUGUUUUCAGAGAAGGGUAAACCAGAGAAGCCACCAAGAGCUUCGUGGAGGACUCAUAGGUGAUAUGAACCUCGGCGUUUUCUCCGUUGACAAAAUCCCACCGCGUCGUUUUGAUAGACUUGAUGGAGUUCACGUCGAUGCCAAUAUGACGCUCUCUGGGGUCCCAGUCCUUGUUGUAGAGGGUGUCGAACUCCACAGCCACAGUAUGGAAAUUGCUGUUGCUGCCGUCGAAAAGACCUAGAAAACCGCCUUUGUCUUUGGGCUGAGAGCCCACGGGGACGAGAGCAAAGGCAAGGCCAUCGGCGGGUCCUGCAUUGUUGGGAACCUGUAUAUUGAAUGUGAAGUUGGUGUCGAAGCUGGCGACGUUGCCGGUGGUGUAGUCCCAGAUUUGGAUGGGGGCGGAGUAGAAGGCGCGGCCCAGAGAGCCCACCGUGGGUUCUCCGUUGCUGUUAAC